rnacentral:rRNA from 1 species
GACGAACGCUGGCGGCGUGCUUAACACAUGCAAGUCGAACGAAGAGCGAUGGAAGCUUGCUUCUAUCAAUCUUAGUGGCGAACGGGUGAGUAACGCGUAAUCAACCUGCCCUUCAGAGGGGGACAACAGUUGGAAACGACUGCUAAUACCGCAUACGAUCUAACCUCGGCAUCGAGGAUAGAUGAAAGGUGGCCUCUACAUGUAAGCUAUCACUGAAGGAGGGGAUUGCGUCUGAUUAGCUAGUUGGAGGGGUAACGGCCCACCAAGGCGAUGAUCAGUAGACGGUCUGAGAGGAUGGACGGCCACAUUGGGACUGAGACACGGCCCAGACUCCUAAGGGAGGCAGCAGUGGGGAAUCUUCCGCAAUGGACGAAAGUCUGACGGAGCAACGCCGCGUGAGUGAUGACGGCCUUCGGGUUGUAAAGCUCUGUUAAUCGGGACGAAAGGCCUUCUUGCGAAUAGUUAGAAGGAUUGACGGUACCGGAAUAGAAAGCCACGGCUAACUACGUG